GAUAAAAGCAUAUAUAUAAGUGCAGACCAUUUACCAUUGUACUUCUAUUCUGCACACUGUGAUUUGGUCCACUGCUCAGAGUUGAUGUGUGUUACUCACAAGUCUUCUAAUAGCUUCAGAGUGGUCCUUCUUGCUUAAAGGUAUUGUGAGGCAGGUGGGCCAACACCACAGAAUGGGGUGUGGCAUACUAAAGGCUCCAUGGAGACGACCCAUUUGUCCAUGCUGGUGUUGCAUCCUGCUAUCACGGGCCUGUUUGCUGGUAGGGCUUAUUUGCACACAUCCGGCAGAGCAGAUAGUAACCCCAUACUGGUCAAGAAGUCUCUCUGCCAGGAGUUGAACUUUUUAGCCUUCAAAUAUUCCCUGAUAUAAUCCCUGACUCCUAGCGGACUAGUGGAACUUCCUCAAUAAACUGCUGCAUCUUUCUUCUUAUAGCCUGCAUAUCGUAUUGUACUGUCAGCUGACCAUCCCAUGAUUCUUCUGGCAAUGUGUUCUCCCCAUUAAUAGUCCUGCAUGAACAAGCAUGAUGGUUAUAGUAACAAACACACACCCAGCUACCUAUAGAACUAUAAAACCAUUAAAAAUGGUUUUCGGCAACAGAAUCAAAAUCGUGCAUCAGGACAAACUGUAAAAAAAAAACGUUGAAUUUCAGAAUAUUUUGGACAAUGUAAGUAAAAUUGUUAAGUAGAAUACAUAAAAAAUGACUAUGUAAACAAGUCUAAAAAAAAAAAAAAAAGAAAAAAGAAAAAGGUGCAAGUCAGUCCACACAGGAUGCCGCUGAGCUUUUUUUUUGUGAUUGUUGCAGCCAAAAAAUGCUCGAUUUUGCUGCAGCUUUUUCCAAAAUGUGCGAUGCAACUUGCAAAGUUUUUUGUGGAAAACUACUUGAAUUGCGUGAGAUUGUCUUUCACAGUGACUGUUGUUGGUAAAUGAGACCUUUUAGCUGUAUUAAUGAAUUGAAGAGGGUCUUUGGCUGAAGGCGUGCUGUGAUGACAUCACACGACACGUCUAGGCCCAAAUCUGCGGAAAAUCCGCAGUAAGUUUUUUUUUUUUUAAUUGCAAGCUCCUCUGAAUACCGCAGAGUUUCCUUGAUUUUGCUUUCAUGUCUGUGAUCGCAUAAUCCUGGAGGGACCGGUAAGUAGUCUGUGACCUGGUCAUUCACAACAGAAGUAAGCUGUAAGCAAAUACUCAUACACACUUCAUCAGCUUAUACUGGCUCUUCAAUAAAUACAAGAAGUGCUUCAACUGAUAAUGCAAAGCAAUGAAAAUGUGUACCAUUCGUCAGCGUCUUUACGCCACGCCGGUCGUUCGUCGGCGUCUUUACAGUAAAGGUUGUCGUUCGUCGGCGUCUUUACAGUAAGGCUGUCGUUCGUCGGCGUCUUUACAGUAAAGGUUGUCGUUCGUCGGCGUCUUUACAGUAAAGGUUGUCGUUCGUCGGCGUCUUUACAGUAAGGCUGUCGUUCGUCGGCGUCUUUACAGUAAGGCUGUCGUUCAUCGCGUCUUUACAGUAAGGCUGUCGUUCGUCGGCGUCUUUACAGUAAGGCUGUCGUUCGUCGGCGUCUUUACAGUAAGGCUGUCGUUCGUCGGCGUCUUUACAGUAAGGCUGUCGUUCGUCGGCGUCUUUACAGUAAGGCUGUCGUUCGUCGGCGUCUUUACAGUAAGGCUGUCGUUCGUCGGCGUCUUUACAGUAAAGGUUGUCGUUCGUCGGCGUCUUUACAGUAAGGCUGUCGUUCGUCGGCGUCUUUACAGUAAAGGUUGUCGUUCGUCGGCGUCUUUACAGUAAGGCUGCCGUUCGUCGGCGUCUUUACAGUAAGGCUGUCGUUCGUCGGCGUCUUUACAGUAAAGGUUGUCGUUCGUCGGCGUCUUUACAGUAAAGGUUGUCGUUCGUCGGCGUCUUUACAGCAAGGCUGUCGUUCGUCGGCGUCUUUACAGUAAAGGUUGUCGUUCGUCGGCGUCUUUACAGUAAAGGCUGCCGUUCGUCGGCGUCUUUACAGUAAGGCUGUCGUUCGUCGGCGUCUUUACAGUAAGGCUGCCUUUCGUCGGCGUAUUUACAGUAAGGUUGUCGUUCGUCGGCGUCUUUACAGUAAAGGCUGUCGUUCGUCGGCGUCUUUACAGUAAAGGUUGUCGUUCGUCGGCGUCUUUACAGUAAAGGUUGUCGUUCGUCGGCGUCUUUACAGUAAAGGUUGUCGUUCGUCGGCGUCUUUACAGUAAAGGUUGUCGUUCAUCGGCGUCUUUACAGUAAAGGUUGUCGUUCGUCAGUGUCUUUACAGGAAGCUGGACAUUUGUCAGCGUUUUUAACAUUGCGCUAAUCAUUUGUUAGUGUUUUUUUCAGAACAGUUAAUGUGCUACUUCAGAAUGUGUGAAAUCAUUCACUUUCUGUAGAAAUCUCUGGUGAAAUGCUAGAACAUACAAAAUGAACAGUGGUAGUCCAUAUCUGGCUUCAUAUGUAUGCAAAUUACACUGGAACUAUCUUGGAGCUAACAUAACACUGGUUAGCUGUUAGCACAAAACAGGUUUGCUUGUGCAAACAGACGUAGGCUGCCUUCAAAUCCUAUCGGAAAUCUCUUCCUGAGUGUGCAGAGAGCUCUGUGUCUCCGAACGCCGUGCAUGCACGAUACUGCUCAUCCUAAGCACACAGUAGCCCAAGAGCUCAACUAUACUGAAUAAAACAUUGAACACAAUAUAUUUUGUCACCAUGUUACACAUUUAAUACAUCUGUUACUAACAGACUCGUAGUAUACUUUUCCAGAUUAACAAAGUAAUAAUGGAACAAUUUAUCAAUUAUACAAAUAGUAGUUAGUUGCGGCACUGAUGAAAAUAAAUAAUUUGCAGGAAUGAUCGUGAUCGGAAGCUUUUUUUGGUCCGACUACACAACCGUUCGUUCUGGUCUACUAAUCUGACUGGACUAGAGGUGUUCCAAGAGUGCUGAUGUUUAGAACAACAGUCCUGCUACAGUACGUUUCACUGUUUGUCUGUGUUCACUACAUAAAAUUCCAGCUCUAGCAAUAGUUCACUGCAUUGAAACCGUUACUACACUUUCUAUGCGCUGUCAAUCAGUCUGUGUGGUGGCAUGGCAACGCCCAACACACUACCCCAGCUUUGGCUUCUUUGGGAAUUAUUUUGACGGAGCACAGAAAAACUAAAUAUUUGGCCAUAUUGUUAAUAUUAAUUUGAAUUACUUGAUAUUAAUUUCUUGUUUAUAGAACUGUUGUAUAAAAGCAAUAUCACAAGACUCCAUUACUAAAGAAAAGGCAUGUUGAAGCUCGUUUAAAGUUUGCGACAACUCAUUUGGACAAGCCUAUGAAAUACUGGGAGAGUGUAGUCUGGCCAGACGAGGGCGAGAUUUACUUUUUGGCUGUUAUACUACACACCAUGUUUGGGGAAGAAAUGGCACUGCACAUCACUCUAAUCGAUCCAAAACAUACAGCAAAGGAAACUCAGUUGGUUUUGGAGAAAAAAAAUCAAGGCGUUAGAAUGUCCCAGUCAAUCACCUGACUCGAAUCCAGCUGAACAAGAUUUAAAGACGAUAUGUUUAGAAGAACGGGCCAAAAUCACACCUGAAUACUGCGGCACAUUAAUUUCUUCAUACAGGAAGCGUCUUGAAGCCGUCAAUACAAACAAAGGCUUCUCCACUACGUAUUAAAUACAUUUCAGUUAGUGUGUUCAGUACUUUGUUCCCUGUGUCAUUCCUCUUUAUUACACACUAAACUUCAUUUAUGGAUUUUAAUGUUUGGAUUUCUUUAUAUGUGUGGAUUUCUUGAGUUAAUACCAAAGUCUGGUGUAAAUUUCAUGUGAAUGGCCUCAUUGGAAAUAUAUUUACUGAACAAAAGUUGACGCGUUCAAUACUUAUUUCCCCUACGGUGUGUGUCCUGUCGCACAAUGUGGUGAAAACUCUACACGAUGUUAACAGUGUGAUUAAG
ensembl:lncRNA